UGUUUCUUAGUGUAGUGGUCAUCACGUUCCCUUCACACGGGAGAGGCCGCGAGUUCGAUCCUCGCAGAAACCA
rfam:Rhizoclosmatium globosum strain JEL800 BCR33scaffold_114, whole genome shotgun sequence.